AGAACGAACGCUGGCGGCAUGCCUAACACAUGCAAGUCGAACGAGACCUUCGGGUCUAGUGGCGCACGGGUGCGUAACGCGUGGGAAUCUACCCUUGGGUUCGGAAUAACAGUUGGAAACGACUGCUAAUACCGGAUGAUGUCGCAAGACCAAAGAUUUAUCGCCCAAGGAUGAGCCCGCGUAGGAUUAGCUAGUUGGUGAGGUAAAGGCUCGCCAAGGCGACGAUCCUUAGCUGGUCUGAGAGGACGACCAGCCACACUGGGACUGAGACACGGCCCAGACUCCUACGGGAGGCAGCAGUGGGAAUUUGGACAAUGGGGGAAACCCUGAUCCAGCCAUCCGCGUGUGCGAUGAAGGCUUCGGUGUAAGCA
rnacentral:rRNA from 1 species